AAAUUGAAGAGUUUGAUCAUGGCUCAGAUUGAACGCUGGCGGCAGGCCUAACACAUGCAAGUCGAACGGUAACAGGAAGCAGCUUGCUGCUUCGCUGACGAGUGGCGGACGGGUGAGUAAUGUCUGGGAAACUGCCUGAUGGAGGGGGAUAACUACUGGAAACGGUGGCUAAUACCGCAUAACGUCGCAAGACCAAAGAGGGGGACCUUCGGGCCUCUUGCCAUCAGAUGUGCCCAGAUGGGAUUAGCUUGUUGGUGAGGUAAUGGCUCACCAAGGCGACGAUCCCUAGCUGGUCUGAGAGGAUGACCAGCCACACUGGAACUGAGACACGGUCCAGACUCCUACGGGAGGCAGCAGUGGGGAAUAUUGCACAAUGGGCGCAAGCCUGAUGCAGCCAUGCCGCGUGUAUGAAGAAGGCCUUCGGGUUGUAAAGUACUUUCAGCGGGGAGGAAGGUGUUGCGGUUAAUAACCGCAGCAAUUGACGUUACCCGCAGAAGAAGCACCGGCUAACUCCGUGCCAGCAGCCGCGGUAAUACGGAGGGUGCAAGCGUUAAUCGGAAUUACUGGGCGUAAAGCGCACGCAGGCGGUCUGUCAAGUCGGAUGUGAAAUCCCCGGGCUCAACCUGGGAACUGCAUUCGAAACUGGCAGGCUUGAGUCUUGUAGAGGGGGGUAGAAUUCCAGGUGUAGCGGUGAAAUGCGUAGAGAUCUGGAGGAAUACCGGUGGCGAAGGCGGCCCCCUGGACAAAGACUGACGCUCAGGUGCGAAAGCGUGGGGAGCAAACAGGAUUAGAUACCCUGGUAGUCCACGCCGUAAACGAUGUCUACUUGGAGGUUGUGCCCUUGAGGCGUGGCUUCCGGAGCUAACGCGUUAAGUAGACCGCCUGGGGAGUACGGCCGCAAGGUUAAAACUCAAAUGAAUUGACGGGGGCCCGCACAAGCGGUGGAGCAUGUGGUUUAAUUCGAUGCAACGCGAAGAACCUUACCUGGUCUUGACAUCCACAGAACUUUCCAGAGAUGGAUUGGUGCCUUCGGGAACUGUGAGACAGGUGCUGCAUGGCUGUCGUCAGCUCGUGUUGUGAAAUGUUGGGUUAAGUCCCGCAACGAGCGCAACCCUUAUCCUUUGUUGCCAGCGGUCCGGCCGGGAACUCAAAGGAGACUGCCAGUGAUAAACUGGAGGAAGGUGGGGAUGACGUCAAGUCAUCAUGGCCCUUACGACCAGGGCUACACACGUGCUACAAUGGCGCAUACAAAGAGAAGCGACCUCGCGAGAGCAAGCGGACCUCAUAAAGUGCGUCGUAGUCCGGAUUGGAGUCUGCAACUCGACUCCAUGAAGUCGGAAUCGCUAGUAAUCGUGGAUCAGAAUGCCACGGUGAAUACGUUCCCGGGCCUUGUACACACCGCCCGUCACACCAUGGGAGUGGGUUGCAAAAGAAGUAGGUAGCUUAACCUUCGGGAGGGCGCUUACCACUUUGUGAUUCAUGACUGGGGUGAAGUCGUAACAAGGUAACCGUAGGGGAACCUGCGGUUGGAUCACCUCCUUACCUUAAAGAA
rnacentral:rRNA from 2 species